rnacentral:rRNA from 1 species
UACGGAGGGAGCUAGCGUUGUUCGGAAUUACUGGGCGUAAGGCGCACGUAGGCGGCUACUCAAGUCAGAGGUGAAAGCCCAGGGCUCAACCUUGGAACUGCCUUUGAAACUAGGUAGCUAGAAUUCUGGAGAGGUCAGUGGAAUUCCGAGUGUAGAGGUGAAAUUCGUAGAUAUUCGGAAGAACACCAGUGGCGAAGGCGACUGACUGGACAGAUAUUGACGCUGAGGUGCGAAAGCGUGGGGAGCAAACAGG